GCUCCUUCGGUUUGGGGUGGGAACACCGCAGGGAUUUUAAAAAUAAAGGGCCUUGAGACAGUGGCCUGGCCAAGCCAGCGAUGGGGUGGGGUGGGGGCCAGACAGGGACAAUGGGAUGCUGAGUCUUGGGGGCUGUCCACCCACAGGGCGCAGCCGGGCCGGGGGAGCCCCUUUGUCCCCUUCCCCCAGUAGUGCUGUCCCCCAAGAGCACCCCCUCCCUGCCUAUCCGAAACAUAGGUGUCACAUACUUUCUGCGCACCUACUAUGUGCUAGGCUUCAGUGAGGGCCGGGGUGGGAAGGUCCAGCCUCUCUCUAACUGUGCUGUUUUCCCCAGGGGCAGGGGGUCCCUCUCCUCCCUAUCCAACCGCAGCCUAGGGCAUGUUACUUCUCGAGUGCCUACUAUGUGUUCUGACCCUUCAGCCUCACUGUGCUCCUCUCUGCUCUCACACUCCCUCAGGCCUCUCCCCAUCUCAGGCCAUUUCUGUCUCGCUCUCUCUCCUCUGGCCCAGCUAACAGGAAGCAGCCGGAGAGGUCAAGGGCCGCUGGGCCUUCAGAGCCCGGCCACGGUACACACAGGGGCCUGUCUGCGAGGGUGGGGGGGGGGGACUUCCUGUUUAUGAGAAUCACAAGGACCCCUGGGGCGGUGCCUGGGACAGGACUCCCGGGCAGCAGCCCCUCUAGCCCAGACCUCAGUCCCUCCCCCGAGAGGCCCCGCGCUGCUAGCUCAGACCCAGGCCACUGCCCUCCCCCUACACUGGGGAAGGCGAGAAGGGAGGAGGAGUGAGGAGUCUUUGGAAUGGCCAGGAAUGUGGGAGUCCAACGUCCCGAACGUCCGCAGGAAGCAUCCGUGGCUCCAGGGCACAGCCCCUUCCAAGUCUGGACGACACGCCCCAUUCUCUUCCCCCAACCUAGGGCCCUCCCUUUGCUUGGAUAGGGGAGGGCUGUGGGAGCCGGGAGGGAGGAGGCCAGACCCCAUCUUGCCCCGCGGGGGCCACAAGACUUCAGCUCUGGCUUGACCAGCCUCUGGCAGCCACAGUCUCUCAUCUGUGGGCAAGGGCCACGGGCCAGCAACUCCGUCAGCCUUCUUUUUCCUUCACCGUCUCCGGAGGGUGGGGCGGGGGCUGCCUGGAGGCUCAGGACCACUGGAGAGACCUCAGACCAAGACAAGUCUUCAACACCUCACAGAAUCCCUCGAUGUUCCAAGUCCCAGGUCCGAGCAGAGCACAGGUGCCGCCGGGGGUCAGGUGGAGGGGAGGAGCUGGCCAAAGUUGCCCCUCAGGAAGCAAACAGCCCUGCCCUCCUCCCCCACCAGUCAGCCUCUCCCAAUCUGUCCUGUGGUUGCCCAACAGGUAUCGACCCAGGGCCUGGAGAUCACGGCCAGGGGAAGAGGCAGGGCAGGGAGACUGGCCCUGUCCCUCUUGCCCUCCCUCCCUAACCCAGAAGGAGGUGAGCGACACCUGUCCUCUGUCUCUGCCAGACGCCCCCUUCCCGGCCAGCUUAGAGUACCUGGAGAUAUGGAUCCUUCAGCCACAAGGUCAUGACUAUUUGAGGCAGUCAUCCUCUAGACAGUGGUGGGGGCACGGAGAAGCCAGCUAACCCAGAGCCGGCAGUCAGGAAGGGCUUCCUGGAGGAGGCCGCCUCUCAACAUGGAAGUCUACCAUCAGGCAGGAAACGGUGUGCCUGACCCAGGAACCAGCCUGGUCAAAGGCACUGCCCUUCUAGAGAGGUGCUAGCGACAUGAUGGAGCUGGAGAAAGGAGCAGGGCAGCGGGGAGCUAUGGAAGGCUUUUGAGCAGCGGAGGGAUAAGAUAGGUCGAAGCACCAAGAGCGUUGAUAGACUGGAGGACCCGCUUGGGGCAGGAAGACCAGCGAGGAGGUGGCACAAAGGUCUGUUUUGGCAAUGGUGAAUGGAGCUGCGCAGACAUCCAUGCUCAGGUUUUCGUGUGGACUCACGUUUUCAACUCCUCUCGGAACUGGCUCGUGGUGAGACUUCACUCGAAAAAGUGGUUUCCACUUCACCUCCAGGGGGGUGGCUAGAAUUAAACUUACUGCCGCCUGUGUUGGUGGGGAUGUGGAACUCACUCGUGUGGCAAGACGGCCUGGCGGGUGGCCGGGGGCGGAACAGAGGCUCCCCCCCCCCCCCCCCCCCCCCCGUGACCGAGCAAGCCCACCCUCGAGUAGGAAUCCGGCAGAAGUGCCUGGAUGCGUGUAGCGCGGGAAGUGGCCCCGAAUGUCCACAGCGGCAGCCGUCAGACAGCGCCCCCAAGGGGAUCUACCGCGAUGCGCGCUCCACGGUGUAGUCCCACGAGGGAAUUCUCUUCCGGAGCAAGAACAAUCUACAGGCGCAUGUGCCCGCAUGGAAGGUUCUCUCUGACACCCGGUGACUGAAAGACUCCAGGACUCCAGGGACUAAAGAGCAGACGCCCGGUGUUUCCAUUCGCGUGAAGGACAAAAAUCGUUGGAACGAAUCCCUGGUGAUGGACGACGGAAGAGUUGUUGCCUCUGGAGGUGGUCUUGACCGGGCCAUUGGAAACGCUCCGUCUCUUGGUUUGGGUCGUGGUCACCUGGGUGAACACCUAAGGGAAAAAUCGACUGAGUGUUUGCUCAGGAUCUGUGCCCCUUAGUGUGUUUUAUACCUCAACCUGCGUCUUUGGAACCACCAUGUAGGAAGCUGGCUGUCCGGAAGCCACCGUGCUGUGGAGACAGACUGUGCAGGGAGACCGCAGGUGGAGACGCCC